UCCAGUCUUCAUAGUAACCUGUUCAGUGAGGGUCGUCAUCCCCAUUCUACAGGUGGGGAUGCUGAGGCUCAAGAUCAAACCUGAUCUGUUAGUCUCCUCGUAAUGGCCACAACCCUGGCCUUCAAGAUCUCUGGGGAAACCCCCUUCUGAGUUCUCUGUCCUAGCAGGAGGGCACUGUGUUUGCUAAGUGUUAACCCAGAGCAUUUUAAUUAGCUUUUUAGAAGCUUCUCACACAGCUAGUAAGUGACAAGCUGGGGAAUCAAAUCCUAGUUCUAUGCUGCUUCUAACACCUGUAUUGUUACUUAACUGCAGGUGUGUGUGCACCUGUGGCCUUGGUGAAAUUAUGUACUCCUUGAGUGUGGAGAUUCUGUUUCCUGCUUUGCGUAAGGCCUGCUUCGUGCUGGGGACUAGCACAUAGUACACGCUCAGUCAACAUUUGGCUGAUUAUCUCUUCUCUCCUACCCCAAAUUCGAGAUGCUCUGCCCCUAAGUCAUUUGCUUAGGAAGGAGCAAUGGAAUGCUGUUAGUUUCUCUCAGAUCCUCUUCCGUUUGGGAGUUUUUGUGGGGCAUUCCCAUAGCUGACCUUGGGAACAGAGAUCCAAUUCUUUCAAUUUGGAGCAUUUAUAUCCUGAUCACACCCAUUCCCAUGAUGCAUCUUCUCAUGGUCUUGGACAGUUUAGAUCUUGGCCUGGUGGGAGGACAGGGGAGAGAUGGUGGCCUCCUGUGAUCCCUUGGGCUCCAGAAUCUUGGAUGCCAAUUUCUCACCUUUGGCCUGGUCCCUACUGUCCUCUGUGGGACACUUGCAGUUAAGGACUCAAACUCUCAGUCCCACUUUGGGGUUCAGGAAGAGCUGGUCCACCCUCCCCCAUCCAUCUCUGUUUUAGCUUUCUUCCUCCUAAUGGUUUGCCACCUUGGCAGGAAGGGUGCUGCUGGGAGCGAGGGAGGCCCCUCUUGCAAGUUCUCUCUCCUAGCAAGAGGGCACUGUGUUCGCUAAUAGGUGUUAAAUGGGAGCAUCAAAUUUUAAUCAGUUCCUUAAUGGAGUCUGGGGACCUGGGGGAGUUCUCGAGUCCUGCAUUAUGCCGCUUGCUGGAGCCAAGCUGGACGUGGUGAGUGGGAAGGUGGGAUGGGCAGCUGCUGUCACAGCCAGAGCUACUAGAAGGUGGGGUAGGGCUGGCCCUGUUGACAGUCACUUUCAGCCAGGAUGGCACAGCUCAGCUAGUGUCACCACUGUGACUACUCUUGGUGACAAUCCACUGAUGGCUUCCUCUUGGUAGGAAGCAGGUCUAGCAACAAAUGUGGAAAUGGGAGAUCACUGGCAUCAGAAGACCCUGGUUUAUAUGCUGAGAUUCUCAAGUUGAGCGAAUGUGGACAGCUUCUUUGGUGUGGUAGCUCAUUAUAAUAAUGGCCCUCAAUGAAUAAUGGCCCUCCCUGUGUCCCUUUUGCAAUGGGAUGUUGCCACUCCUCCCAUUAAGAGGCAGAGUACAUUUCUCCAUCUCCUUUACCCUGAGUUGGCCUGUGGCUUAUUUUGACUAACAGAAGAUGGUGGAAGUGUCAUUAGGUGAAUUCUGGAGCUGCUUUCCACUUGCUUGGAAUACUGCCCUGAGACUCCCAUGAAAGGGAGCCUUUCUAUUCUAGUGGAGGGUGAGAACCCCUGUAGAGGAGAACCAGGGUGGCUUGCUCAUGGCCAGCACCAUCUGCCAGACCUGUGAGCAAGGUGACCUUCCAGCUCCAGGUGAGCUGUCAGCUGGCUGCAGCGUAUGAGUGACCCUAGGGAAGACCUGCAGAAGGACCACCCAGAUUGUAAGAAAUAAAAAAUCGUUGUUUCAAGGCACUGAGUUUUGGGGUGCUUUGUUGCUUAUUAAUGGAUAAGUGAACUGCUGGCUUCUCUAAGCCUUGGAUUCUGAGAUUUAGCACAGGAGCACCUUGUUGUUGGGAGGGGCAUCAGUGAUAGGUGCCCUGGACUGUGCCUGGGACAUAGUAGGUCUGCCUGGGGAGAGAAUUACUGUUAGUGAGACUGGAAAGGAGAGUGAGGCUGGUUAGGAAGGGCCUUGAUUGCCACAGUGAGGAGAUGUGAUAGCGGUGGUAGUGGGACGAGAGGAGAGGAAUGAAGUGCAAGAAAUUCCUGAGACGAAACAAUGGGACUUGAUGAAUGACUGGUACGAGCAGGAAGGGUGAGUCAGAGAUGCCUCGGAGGUUGCCAGCCUGGGUAAGUGGGUAAACAACGCUGCUGAGGAAAGUGGGAGGAAGAGCAGGUCUGGGGGGGAAGAUGAACAAGUUCAGCUUUGCUCAGUUGGCUGUGAGAAGGAGAUACCUGGAUGCAGGUGAGUAUAUGGGUCUGAGCUCAGGAGAGUGGCCAGGGACGGGGCUGGAGGUGUGGGACUCACUGGGGAGCAGGAGGCCCUUGAAACCUGGAGGAUGACUGUCUUAGUCGCUUUGGGCUGCUGUAACAGAACAUCAUAGACUGGGUGGCUUAGAAACAACAGAAACUUAUUUCUUCCAGUUCGGAGGAUGGAAGUCAGAGAUCAGGGUGCUAGCGCGGUGAGGUUCUGUGUCUGGUGAAGACCUGCUUCCCGCUCCAUAAGCUGCCAUCUUCUCUCUGUGUCUGCACCUGGUGGAAGGGGUGAGGAAUCUCCCUGGCGUCCCUUGCGUGAGGGCACUAAAGGCAUUCAGGAGGGUUCCACUCUGAUGACCUAAUUACCUCUCAAAGGCUCCGCAUCCUAAUACCAUCACCAUGGGUGUUAGAGUUUCAUCAUAUGAAUUUUGGGGUGGUCACAAGCAUUCAGACCAUACCAGUGACUCAAAGGGCUGGGUUAGGGACACAAGGCUGGGACAUCCCAGGUUUCUCCAGGGAUUAAAGUGAAGUAUAGCUAAAGUAACAGCUUGGAUAGCCUACCAGCCUACUGAAGAUUUAGUCUGCAGGGGUCAGUCUCUCCGGAAACCCUUUGUUUCAGGAGAAAAUGUGAACCAUCAAGAGGGCCUCACAGAUGAGUGGAUUCCAGACUUCCACAGUGCUCCAAGGGCAGCUAAUUUCCAAUCGCAAUCUGUGAUUUGAUUUAAUUUUAAAAAGCCCAUCUAUAAAACUCAACAAGGAGAUGCUAACUGUAGUGGCCUCCCGGCUGAAGAUUAAUGGGUGAUUUUUUCCCCCCUUCUUUCUAUUUUUUUGGACAUCCCAAAUCUUCUGUAAUGAGCAUUCAGUACUUUUUCUUGGCACGCAAUAUUUUUAAAAGGACACACACACAAAAACCAAAUUACAAAAACAAAUCAAAACAAGAAGAUUUUAAGGCUGGAGAAUAGAACUUUACUUCCAGGAAAAGGGGGGCCCCAGAUAUGGUUCUGCUCUCAAACACCAGGACCCCACAAAAGAGCAAAGCCCAAGGAGGACAGAAAGGGGAAAUGGUCACUCUCCCUGGAGCUGCAGAGACAGAUCCAACUUUACAGGUCUGAAAAUCUGUGAACAGUUGAGGAAAGAUGGUGGUGGCAGCUGGGAAGGGGAGGGUGAAGUAACCUGGCCUUGACGGCCUUUUGGGAAAGUUGGUGUUUUAGGUGCUUAGCUUUGAGUUGGUCAUAGUCGGCCUGACCAUGUUGGGAGCCCUUGGGUGGCAGAAGAACAUAUGUCCAGGUGGGCCAGGCCACAGGGUUGGGUUCUCCAGCCAAGGAGAGUGGAACAGUCCAAGUCGCUGAGUCCUGAGGGUAGGCGUGGAGGUAUGAUGUCUCAUCUGCAAGUCAUCACUUCUGAGAGCACCGGGCAGUCAGAUGAAGGUCCAAAGCUUUGCUUAGGGAGUCCUGAAAUGCAAGCAGAUGCAAGGAGGCUCGCCUGGGUCCUGGGCAGGGUAGGGAGGGGAGAAAGGCUUGGUGAGUAGCAAUCAAUAGCCAGCUGACCCAAGGGGGCCUGGCAAUGGUACCCAGGCUGUAGAGAGGGAGGCUGAAGCUUAAUGUUUCUUCUCAAGUGCACCCCGCCCCUGGCUUACCCUGGCCCCCUGACUUUGGCUAGCUUGGGCAGGCUGCUUUCAUCCUCUACUUGCUAUUGGAGGAAGGGCUUCUGGUAUCUCCCAGCCCUGGAUCUCCACACUCAAGGUAGGUUGGGAGUAAGUGUGCCGGCAGCUGGGUAGAAUUGCACAGUUGGGCUGGUGAGAGGAGAAUUCAACCAGGGGGAAGGAAACUUUGAAUAUAAACCCUGUUGGUUUGCAUCCCCAUGGCAGAGGGGCUAUCUCAAAAGAGAAAAUCCACUCAUCUCAUUGCUCAGAAAGGUCCUCUUGAUUUUUUGGGGAGGGGGGAUAAGCAUGUGAGUUUGGGGAGGAUAAAGUGAGACACAGGAGGUGAAAUAACUUGCUAUAAAGCAAAUGGCUGUGUGAGAGUGGGGUAUUAGUGUGGUUAUCCCUGCAAGGGUGGGGAGCCCUUCCUGUUGAAUGCCUGUCUGUCCUCCUAGACUGUCAUGUUCGUGGAUGUUGUGUUCACGGCUGUAAUAACUGCUAAGCUUUGUUAACCACUUAAUUGAUGUCAGGCUCCUACUAAGCACUUUGCAAAUGCCAUCUUAACCCUGUAUGACCCUACUAUCCCCAGUUUACAGACGAGGAGUCAGAGGCCCAAGAGUUACCUUGGCAUACAGUGCACGUCCCGUAAGUUCCAGAGGCCGAUGCAGGUGGUCUAGUCCAGAGCCUGUACUCUUAACCUCUGUCCUUUAAGCCAAAUCCCCAGCAUGCUGCACACAGUAGGCACUCAUGAAAUAUUUGUUGCGCUGAGUUAAAUCAAAUCAGAUUGCUAUUCCCAGGAAAGCCAAAGAUCAUAAAUUCUUUGGAACCCGAAUCUCUUUAAACACCAUUUUUAGAAUCUCAGUUACUGGGAAGAAAACAAAAUAGGAGGGUGGGUAGGUCUUCAAGAAGGAUCUCACUCUUCCCUGUUUGCAGCUGGUGUGGUUUGCUGCCCUCCGAUGCUGCCCCUGCCUGGUAGAUAGCCCUUCCUCCCAUCUUGCCCUCUUGGGGGAGAGAGGAGGAUGGAGCGCCCACCGUGGCACACAGGAGCAGGGGCAGAGCAAAGAUCAGUGCUCUCCAAGCUGCUGGAGCCGGUGAGGCGGAGGCCAGACGAGCUGGAGCUGAAUACAAUUUUUGUCAGAGUUCCCUUCCCGUCUGUGAAUGCAAAUCCUGAAUUACAAGCCAUCCGGAUGACAAGCUGACAUUUUAGCUCCAAACAUUCUCCUAUAAUUAGUAGAAUCUAAUGCAAUACAGGGAAUGGCUCCAUUUUACACACACGUUAUCGUAAUGCCUUUAAAUAAGAUAAUUGAUUAUGCCUCUGCAUAAGAAAGUGAAAUAUUCGGUGUAAUUAAAACCAGCAUUCCGAUCCUGGCUCUCUGACAGGUGAUCCACGUGUCACUUUAUAAACCCUCAAAGUAGUGUUCACGCCCACAUUCCAGUUUUCAAAGUUUGUUGUAAAAAAACUUUGGAGAAUUUUUUUUCUUCUUCUCAUGGUUUUCAGCUUUGGGUCUAGAAAUCUGAGUGAAGGUAGCUACUGACUUUUUGGGUAUUUCUGUAUUCCUCCUCAGCUCCCUGACACAAUCACAAACUGUCUCAUGUUUCCCUGUAGAUCUUCAUUUUAUAGAUGGGGAAAUUGAGGCACAGGGAAGCGACAGCACUUCUGUGGCUGAGUCAGGCUUGGAAUUCAAAAUCUGUUUUACAGCCCUUGAGAUUAGAUUUUAAUUUGAGUUGUUUUGCUAAAAGUGGGAAAAAGUAUGGUUCAGUGGACAGAAUGUAAGGCUGGGAUCAGGAAGUCUGAAUUCCAGUCUUGGCUUUGCAAUCAGUUAACUUCUCUGAGCAUUCAUUUCUCCACUUACUUCAUUGAUUGGCUGCGGAAAAGUUAGAUCAAUUUAGUAAAGUGAGAGAUCUUAAUACAAUGGCAAUCUAAUAGGUAGGCUCCUGGGUCGUCCGGGGUGGGUGUGGGGAGAUUAGUUGUUUGAGUAAAGAAAAGUCAGAUAUGGCUGUAGAAAUCUCAGUGACCCUGAGUUCUAGGAAGUCCCCAAUACUGCCCCAUUCCUCUUGAGCCAACCUCCGUCUCCUGGAAGUUGAGUGGUGGGAAUGAGACAGGAGUGGGCGAUACUAGUAGGAAGGCCAGUUGAGAAUUGUGUGGGUCACUAUCUGCCUUUCUGAUACCUGAAGAUGCUGCUGCAGAUAUCUCAAGUGGCCUUGACACUGUCCUACAUUAGUCCCACCCUCUCAGGAAGUCUCCAAAGGUUAAUUUGUGACAUACUUUUGUGGGACAGCUGGUGGGUGUUGGGUGAGUACUCUGGGGCCAGGAAACCAAGCUACUUCAAUUGGUUUCUCUUAAGCGGGCAAACUAGUUACUUCAUCUUUCUUCUCGUGGACUCCAUACUUUCACCCCAAUAAUCAUACUAACCAAAGCCUAGCUCCUUACAGAGAUAUCAAGACUACUACAUUUGUGCAGGAAAAACUCUUCCCAGGAUUGUCCUGUUCACCCUUGUAUUAGUUUCCUAUUGCUGCUGAACAAAUUACCACACACUCAGUGUCUCAAUACAACACACAUGUAUCAUUUACUGGAGGUCAGAAGUCUGAAGUGGAUCUCGCUGAGCUAAAAUCACAGUGUUGGCAGGGUGGCAUUCCUUCUGGAGGCUCUAGGGGAGAAUCCAUUUCCCUGCCUUUCCAGCUUCCAGAGGCUGCCUGCGUUCUUUGGCUCACGGUCUCUUCCUCCAUCUUCAGAGCCAGCAAAGGCCAGUGAAGUCUUUCUAACUGUGCCAUAUCUCUGAUUCUGACUCUUCUGUCCCCCUCUUCCCCAUUUCAGGACCCUUUUGAUUACACUGAGCCUUCCAGGAUCAUCCAGGGAAACGUCCCCAUCUCAAGAUCCUUAACUCAAUCACAUCUGCAAGGUCCAUUUAGCCACGUAAAGUAACGUAAUCACAUGGUCCAGGGAAUAGGAUGUGGGCAUGUUUUUUGGGAGCCAUUAUUCUGCCUACCACAUGAUCUAGCCCCAAGGAUAAUUGUAUUAGUUAUCUAUUGCUUCUUAAUAAAUUACCUCUAAAUUUUGUGGCCUGAACAAUGAGCAUUUACUGCCUCACAGUUUCUAUUUGUAAGGAAUCUGGGUAUCCCUGGCUGGGGGUCUCUCACAAGGCUCUAAUCAAGGUCAGCUGGAGCUAUAGUCAGCUCAAAGCUUGAUGGGGGUGGAUUCACUUCCAAGUUCACUCACAUGGCUGUUGGCAGCCCUCAGGUUGUCACUGGCUGUUGACUGGAAACAUCAGUUCUUUGCCAUAUCGGCCUCUCCAUAGGGUAGCUCACAAUAUGGCAGCUGAAUUCCUUCAGAGUGAGCGAGUGUGAGAGGAAAAGAGAGCACCCAAGUGGAAGCCAUAGUCUUUUUAUAACCUAAUAUUGGAAGUGACAUCUCAUUGCUUUUUGCCAUAUCCUAUUUGUUAGAAAUGAGUCAAUAAAUCCAGCCCCUGCUCAAGAAGAGCAGAUUACACAAGAGUGUAAUCAAGAAGGGAGGAUCAAAUCCAGGGCCAUCUUAGAGGUGGCUUACUCCAGCAAUCACACAUACCACUUCCCUUAGGGAAGGCUGAUCCAUAAUGAUCAGAGAUUAGGCUUCCAAAAUUUAAGGCAGGAGAAAUCAGACUUUAGGGACCUCAUCCUAAUACGUAGGAAAGUGAGAUAUGGAGAGGGUGGGUGGGUAGGUGAGUGGCUAUAAAACUUUCUUCCAUCUCGGUCAGUGGUUCUCUAACUUAGGAGGCAUAUUAGAAUUAUCUGGAAAGCAAGAAAAAUAUCAAAGCCUGGGCUCCAACUGUGUAGAUUCUUAGUUAGUUGGACUGAAGUAGAAUCCAUGCGUAUACAUUUUUUAGAACUCCUGUAAUUCUGGUUUGUAUCAGGGUUGAGAAAGUUUGAUCUAAAGAGUUUGCUGAUAUCUACAAGAGGGGAUUUGGAGACCCCAUGGAACUCUUUGAAGUCUGGAUCUUCCAAAUGAUGAUAAUGAUGAUGAGGAUGAAGACAAUAAUAAGAAGAAUUAUUGUUUACGUGAGUACUUAAUACUUGGCAGGCACUGUGUUACUUAUCUCCUGAGCCUCAGUUUCCUUAUCUAAAAAAUGAAGAAAGCAGCAUCAAUCCAACAGGGGAAUUGUGAAGUCUCAAUGAUUUAAGUAUGCAAAAUGUUCACAGCAACGCUUGGCACCUGGUCAAUGCUUGCUUCACGUCAGCUCCUUCCUGUCCUGGCCAUCCUCGUACUCCUUUUGGGGAGCCAAGAUAUCAUGAAGAAGGAAUUCCCUGCCCCACUGCCCUAGACUGUUGGAACUGCUGGACAAGGCUGAGUGAACUCAGAGGCACCUACAAAGGACAUUGUGUAAGUGACCAUAGGCCUGAUGGGCUGCCCAGGAGCCCAUGAUGCAGCCCUGGCCUGGGGUGAGGCCAGCUGCGUGGUGCACCCAGGUCCUCUGUUAAAUGGCUUGGACCAGCAGCCUGAGCCAAGAGCAGUGAUUCUGGCCUAUUUUUACCUCCAAGUGGCAGAGCUGGAUCUAUUCCUCUUCUUAGAGGAACAGUCUCUGCUGAAUACAGCUUACCUCUAAGGCCCCAGUCCACUUCUUGUCACUGAUGACUGAGCUCUGUUGAUAAUUAUUCCCAACCUUGCCAGACCUCUUAGGCUUCUCCAGAGCUACCUGGUAGUCUGGCCUGGGGCUAAGGUGGUUGUGAUUCUUCCUGGGCAGGAUUUUGGCCUCCCCUGCUUAGGCCAUCACUGGGUUCUUCUGGUGUGCUUGUACUUGUCUCCUCUCAUCAUCCUAAAUAGGAAAGUAGAAAGGGAUGGUGACCUAAGCCAUCUUCUCUGUUCUUCCAUUAUUAGGGAAACUGAGGCAGAGUAGAGGGCCUUAUCUGCUUACUGAUGGCAUCAGCUUGACUACAUGUGAAGUUCAGAGCCUCCUAGAAGCUUCAACCCAGUGAAGAUACUCAUGAACUGACUGUUUUGUGUGUUCUUUUCUGCCAGAAGCCAAGAUCCUAGGGACUGGUGACAAGGAUACAAGAAGUUAUGUGGUUCUAGUUUCAAAGGGGCUAAGUGCAAGAUUCAAAAUGGUUUUUCUAUAUUGAAAUUAGGGUGAGAAAGACUACCCUUUAAAUCCUGGUUUUGCCACUAUCUUGCUGUGUUACUUAAGGCAAGUUUGUUCACUUAACUUAUCUCAGCCUUGGUUUUCUUAUCUGUGACAUGGGUGUAUCAGUCAGCACAGGCUCAUGCUGCAGUAACAAACAAUCCCCAAAUCUCAGUUGCUUAACACAGCAAAGGUUUGUUUUGUAUUCACUUUUCAUGCCCACCUUGGGUCUACUAAAGGCUCUGCUACAUGUUGUCUUUGUUCUAGGACAGAGACUGACAAAAAUAGUUAUCGUCAGAGACAUUGCCAAUCCUGUGGCAGCUGGACAGGGAGAGUGGGGACAGAUAAUGGUACCUUGGUUCUUGCAGCUUCCACCUGGAAGUAACACACAUCAUUCUGCUUACAUUUCAUUGGUCAGAGCAAGUCCCACGGCGGCAUCUAACUCCAAGGAUUCAGGGAAGUGCAGUCUUACCACGUGCCCAGAAAGGAGGAGAUCUGGAAAUGUUUGGUGAACAGCACUACUGGCUCCCACAUUGAGUAAUCUUAUAUCAACUUCCCUGUGGGGUUACUGUAAAGAUUAAAGGAGAUGAUGGAUGAAAAAUCACUUUGCAAAUAAUAGACACAGUUGAUAACAGACAUUGGACCCGUGAGGAUCUUCAGAUUCAUGAGGAAGAGGAGGAGCCUCACCUGGGAAACAUCUGCCAGGUGAUCCUUUCCUCCCAGUUCCUCCCGUGGCUUCUACUCGUUCUCUCAGGAGGAUCUUAUCUGCAGUGUUAACAGCAAGAACUCCGGAGCCAGCCUGCCUGGUGGGAACCCCAGCUCUGCCACUGUGAGCAAGGCACAUGAAAACAUCUGCUGCUUUUGGACUUUCGGGACACCAUUGGAUUAAUCAUGUUUGCAAAAUACCUCAAAACGGAGUAGAAACCCAGCAAGAUUGCUACUCUUAAAUGGAGGACUCUGUGGUCCAGUCUGGAGGGAGCUUGUGCUGUAACUAUCGCCAUCUGCUGGUGGGAGGCUGAGCUGAUGUGAUCUGAGCGACGUGAUAGAGUGUUGUUUGUAUCUAGGCUUGACCCAGUGUUCUUUCUGCUACAUCAGAUCACCUGGCAGGAUAGCUUCUCAAUGUGGAGGAAAAUGACACAUGGCUUCUCUUUGCGGAAGGGACUGUAAAAGUGGAAAAAGUAAUAAAGUUUAAUUUUCAUAUAGAAAUAAUGCACAUUCUCUAAAGAAGAUGUGGAAAGCAUGGGAAUAUAAAGUGAAGGAGAAGUUAUUCAUGGACACACCACCCGAGGAUGAAUAUGAGGAAACUGAGACCUAUAGGAGGUACAAGAUUUACCCAAUAUCACAAGACAGGUCACUCAAAAGAAAAUAUAAGGACCAAGGAAGCAAUCCAUAUUUGUCAGGCAAGGAGCGGACCUGGUGUUAAGAAGUCCUCGGGGGGGGCUGGCCCCGUGGCCGAGUGGUUAAGUUCGCGCGCUCCGCUGCAGGCGGCCCGGUGUUUCGUCGGCUCGAGUCCUGGGCGCGGACAUGGCACUGCU